rnacentral:rRNA from 1 species
UACGAAGGGGGCUAGCGUUGUUCGGAUUUACUGGGCGUAAAGCGCACGUAGGCGGAUUCUUAAGUCAGGGGUGAAAUCCCGAGGCUCAACCUCGGAACUGCCUUUGAUACUGGGGAUCUCGAGUUCGGGAGAGGUGAGUGGAAUUGCGAGUGUAGAGGUGAAAUGCGUAGAUAUCUGGAGGAAUACCGGUGGCGAAGGCGGCAUCCUGGACCGGCAUUGACGCUGAGUGAGCGAAAGCCAGGGGAGCAAACGGG